GAAAAAGUCUGAAGUCAAAGAAAUCUGCUCCAGCUACAGAAAUGCGAGCCCGGCUGUGAUCGACACUGUUGCGGUACCCGGAUGGCUGCGGGCGGAGCUGUGCGCGAGCGUCGGUACGGAAGCCGCGCGCCUCGCCAAGUUCAACCGGCGCGGCACGAUCACGCAGCGCGAGGUGUGCGCUGCUGUGCGCGCGAUGAGGAAGGUCACGCGGAGGACAACAGCGCACGCGGAGUGACCGUUAAUGGAACUUUUUAAAAAA
ensembl:lncRNA